rnacentral:lncRNA from 1 species
CCCGCCGGACCCCGGGACUACGGAGGCCAUCCCGUCCGGCCACCCACACCCCGCGCCGCGGCUGGGGCUUGGGUUGGGGACUGUGGCGGCGAAGAAGCUGGGUGAGGGAUUUCUCACAAGAUCUGAUGUUUUAAGCGUGGCAGUUUCCCCUGAGGUCUCCUUCCUGCUGGUAUGUAAGGCGUGCCUUGCUUCCCCUUCACCUUCCGCCGUUGUACAUUUCCUGAGGCCUCCCCAGCCACACAGAACUGCAUACAACUCAGGAUUCAUAACUACAUAUAUACGGAUAGAAGUGCAUGAACAGAAAAUCUGCUCUUCUAGAAUACCAAAUGCAAAAUUAAAGUCACUACAAGCAGAAUUUGGAGAAAACAAAUAAAAGAUGCAAUAUAGUUUUUAAAAUCAUUGUUAAAAUAUAAUGAGUCUGUACUUUGCUUAAACAAUAAAAAAUGUCUUUGAUUUA